UACGGGGGGAGCAAGCGUUGUUCGGAUUUACUGGGCGUAAAGGGCGCGUAGGCGGUCGUGACAAGUCACUUGUGAAAUCUCCGGGCUUAACUCGGAACGGUCAAGUGAUACUGUCGGACUAGAGUACAGAAGGGGCAACUGGAAUUCUCGGUGUAGCGGUGAAAUGCGUAGAUAUCUGGAGGAACACCGGUGGCGAAGGCGGCAUCCUGGACCAACACUGACACUGAGGAGCGGAAAGCCAAGGGGAGCAAACGGG
rnacentral:rRNA from 1 species